GGGGGGGGAAUCACGUGACUUUGUGUAGUAAUACCCACGAGAAAAUGGCGACUGCUGAGACCCGUAUCUGCAAUUUGGACCAAAAACGCAAAGGAGAAGACAUUCGCCAUUUCACAUUGAUAUUUAAUGCCAUCAUAGAACUGUAAAAUGAGGGCCAAGACACACCUGAAACUGCAGAGGUCAAAGAACUACUAUCGCAACAGAAUAGGAAUGAGCCAUGUAAUAUCAAAUCCCAUCAAAAGUUCAUUUGAUAUAUUAUGAUUACAACCAAUUAAGCAUUCGUUCUAUAGACAAAAAGUGAAAUAUUUGAUCUUGAAUAAUUGAAAUAAGUAUUUUCUAUCUCUUUACAUAUGAACUUUAACUUUCUUUUUAUGUAUAUGUAUGCCAAUGGAAACUUACUGUGAAACUUACU